CCUACGGGAGGCAGCAGUGAGGAAUAUUGGUCAAUGGACGAGAGUCUGAACCAGCCAAGUAGCGUGAAGGAUGACUGCCCUAUGGGUUGUAAACUUCUUUUAUAUGGGAAUAAAAUGUUCCACGUGUGGGAUUUUGUAUGUACCAUAUGAAUAAGGAUCGGCUAACUCCGUGCCAGCAGCCGCGGUAAUACGGAGGAUCCGAGCGUUAUCCGGAUUUAUUGGGUUUAAAGGGAGAGUAGGUGGAUUGUUAAGUCAGUUGGGAAAGUUUGCGGCACAACCGUAAAAUUGCAGUUGAAACUGGCAGUCUUGAGUACAGUAGAGGUGGGCGGAAUUCGUGGUGUAGCGGUGAAAUGCUUAGAUAUCACGAAGAACUCCGAUUGCGAAGGCAGCUCACUGGACUGCAACUGACACUGAGGCUCGAAAGUGUGGGUAUCAAACAGGAUUAGAUACCCGAGUAGUC
rnacentral:rRNA from 1 species